GGAACACCCUUAUGGUGCAGGACUUACUUCAGUGGGGCUUUGUUACUCACUGAGUCUGCCCCUUAAGUGUGUCGCU
rnacentral:pre_miRNA from 1 species